AAUACAUGCAAGUCGAACGCGUUGGCCCAUUUGAUUGAGGGUGCUUGCACCUGAUUGAUUUUGGUCGCGAACGAGUGGCGGACGGGUGAGUAACACGUAGGUAACCUGCCCAGAAUCGGGGGACAACAUUUGGAAACAUAUGCUAAUACCGCUUGACCCCGUUGUUCGCAUGAACAACGCUUAAAAGAUGGCUUCUCGCUAUCACUUCUGGAUGGACCUGCGGUGCAUUAGCUUGUUGGUGGGGUAACGGCCUACCAAGGCGAUGAUGCAUAGCCGAGUUGACAGACUGAUCGGCCACAAUGGGACUGACACACGGCCCAUACUCCUACGGGAGGCAGCACUACGGAAUCGUCCACAAUGGGCACAAGCCUGAUGGACCAACACCGCGUGAGUGAACAACGGUUUCGGCUCGUAAAGCUCUGUUGAUAAAAAAUAACACGUAUGAUACUAACUGUUCAUACGUUGACCGUAUUUAACCAGAAAGUCACGGCUAACUACGUGCCAGCAGCCSCGRUAAUACGUASGUGGCAAGCRUUAUCCGGAUUUAUUGSGCGUAAAGAGAGUGCAKGCGGUUUUUAAGUCUGAUGUGAAAKCCUUCGGCUUAACCGGASAARUGCAUCGGAAACUGGAUAACUUGAGUGCAGAAGAGGGUAGUGGAACUCCAUGUGUAGCGGUGGAAUGCGUAGAUAUAUGGAAGAACACCAGUGGCGAAGGCGGCUACCUGGUCUGCAACUGACGCUGAGACUCGAAAGCAUGGGUAGCGAACAGGAUUAGAUACCCUGGUAGUCCAUGCCGUAAACGAUGAGUGCUAGGUGUUGGAGGGUUUCCGCCCUUCAGUGCCGGAGCUAACGCAUUAAGCACUCCGCCUGGGGAGUACGACCGCAAGGUUGAAACUCAAAGGAAUUGACGGGGGCCCGCACAAGCGGUGGAGCAUGUGGUUUAAUUCGAAGCUACGCGAAGAACCUUACCAGGUCUUGACAUCUUGCGCCAAUCUUAGAGAUAGGGCGUUUCCUUCGGGAACGCAAUGACAGGUGGUGCAUGGUUGUCGUCAGCUCGUGUCGUGAGAUGUUGGGUUAAGUCCCGCAACGAGCGCAACCCUUGUUAUUAGUUGCCAGCAUUAAGUUGGGCACUCUAGUGAGACUGCCGGUGACAAACCGGAGGAAGGUGGGGACGACGUCAGAUCAUCAUGCCCCUUAUGACCUGGGCUACACACGUGCUACAAUGGACGGUACAACGAGUCGCGAACUCGCGAGGGCAAGCAAAUCUCUUAAAACCGUUCUCAGUUCGGACUGCAGGCUGCAACUCGCCUACACGAAGUCGGAAUCGCUAGUAAUCGCGGAUCAGCAUGCCGCGGUGAAUACGUUCCCGGGCCUUGUACACACCGCCCGUCACACCAUGAGAGUUUGUAACACCCAAAGUCGGUGGGGUAACCUUUUAGGAGCCAGCCGCCUAAGGUGGGAC
rnacentral:rRNA from 1 species